AGUGAACGCUGGCGGUAGGCCUAACACAUGCAAGUCGAACGGCAGCACAGUAAGAGCUUGCUCUUACGGGUGGCGCGCGUCGGACGGGUGAGGAAUACAUCGGAAUCUACUUUUUCGUGGGGGAUAACGUAGGGAAACUUACGCUAAUACCGCAUACGACCUACGGGUGAAAGCAGGGGUUCUUCGGACUUUGCGCGAUUGAAUGAGCCGAUGUCGGAUUAGCUAGUUGGCGGGGUAAAGGCCCACCAAGGCGACGAUCCGUAGCUGGUCUGAGAGGAUGUUCAGCCACACUGGAACUGAGACAGGGUCCAGACUCCUACGGGAGGCAGCAGUGGGGAAUAUUGGGCAAUGGGCGCAAGCCUGAUCCAGCCAUACCGCGUGGGUGAAGAAGGCCUUCGGGUUGUAAAGCCCUUUUGUUGGGAGAGAAAAGCAGCAGGUUAAUACCCCGCUGUUCUGACGGUACCCAAAGAAUAAGCACCGGCUAACUUCGUG
rnacentral:rRNA from 1 species